rnacentral:lncRNA from 1 species
AAACCUAGCACACCCUGCUGGCAUUAACAUGGUUGAUAACCAGGCUUUUCUGUAACAUUAUCAGCUCAAUCUAAAAGUUUCCUUGUAGGAACUAGAAGAUUUGUGAGUUCAAGUUGCAAAGAGGAGAGACUGGGAAGAAACGAAAAGGACAGCUUCAUCUCUGAGCUACAACUCUCCUAGAACAUAAAAAAAAUCUGUGGAAGCUAGCUGAGAAUUUUGCAAGCAUAUCGGAAUGGCAAAUCAACUGAGCAGCUCCCUGGCUCCAGCACAUGCAAACAUUUGAAUUUCCUGUUGGCUCAGAGUGUUUGCAUUGCAAGUGACAUCUGGCUGACAGGAUCUUGGAGAAAUGGGAUACGAAGUGAAUGCUGCAGUUACCACAGCAUCAUAUUUAUCAAAAGACUUAAGUCAGCCCUUGUCUUUGCUACUUCAGUCAUCUUUCCAGCCUCUGGAAGCACUGGAAUCCCCAGCCUUACUUCUGGAGCCCCUUUAAAAGCAGACUUCCUAAAAGCUCCUGCCAGAUGGUGCCGACUAAUGCUGAAAGUAUUUCUGCCCUGGCUGAGGUCAGCAGACCCUGAGCACUACUUUCAACGUUCAUGAAUCUCACAGAGCUGCUGCUGAGGUUGGACUGUCAGAAGAGGUGGUGAGUGCCUCCCGUGCUGACUGCGUGAUGACUUGGUGGUUAGGAAACAUGCUCAGGAGAUACCGAUUUGGGCAGUUGCAGGAGUAUUUCAAACCUUCUUGCCAGUGCUCAAACCACUGGGAUGUCAGAUUUAAAAAAAAAGAGCACUAGCAUAAAUCUCCAUUUAAAAAAAAGAGUAGGCCUGCUGUUUUCAAUGAAAGACUGUGGUGUGGACAAUUCUCUGGUGUAACUCCAGAAUAGCAACAG